UUCUAGAGCCAGUGUUUGGUUUGUCCGUUCUGGGCUACUGUAGAAACACGGCCGACUCCGUGAAGAGGACCCGCUCCCUAUGGAGAUACAAACGGCUAAUUCUAAUGUGACAAAAAUGCAACAAUUUUUAUAUUCAGGUGAUCA